rnacentral:rRNA from 1 species
UACGUAGGGGGCAAGCGUUGUCCGGAUUUAUUGGGCGUAAAGAGCGUGUAGGCGGCUAGGUAGGUCCGUUGUGAAAACUCGAGGCUCAACCUCGAGACGCCGGUGGAAACCAUCUAGCUAGAGUCCGGAAGAGGAGAGUGGAAUUCCUGGUGUAGCGGUGAAAUGCGCAGAUAUCAGGAAGAACACCCGUGGCGAAGGCGGCUCUCUGGGACGUGACUGACGCUGAGGAGCGAAAGCGUGGGGAGCAAACAGG